CCUACGGGAGGCAGCAGUGGGGAAUAUUGGGCAAUGGGCGCAAGCCUGACCCAGCAACGCCGCGUGAAGGAAGAAGGCUCUCGGGUUGUAAACUUCUUUUAUCAGGGACGAAGCAAGUGACGGUACCUGAUGAAUAAGCCACGGCUAACUACGUGCCAGCAGCCGCGGUAAUACGUAGGUGGCAAGCGUGAUCCGGAUGUACUGGGUGUAAAGGGCGUGUAGGCGGGAAAUCAAGUCAGAUGUGAAAACCAUGGGCUCAACCUGUGGCCUGCAUUUGAAACUGUUUUUCUUGAGUACUGGAGAGGCAGACGGAAUUCCUAGUGUAGCGGUGAAAUGCGUAGAUAUUAGGAGGAACACCAGUGGCGAAGGCGGUCUGCUGGACAGCAACUGACGCUGAGGCGCGAAAGCGUGGGGAGCGAACAGGAUUAGAUACCCCAGUAGUC
rnacentral:rRNA from 1 species